rnacentral:rRNA from 1 species
CCUACGGGUGGCUGCAGUGGGGAAUUUUGGACAAUGGGGGCAACCCUGAUCCAGCCAUGCCGCGUGCGGGAAGAAGGCCUUCGGGUUGUAAACCGCUUUUAGUCGGGAAGAAAAGGCGCCGGAUAACACCCGGCGUUCUUGACGGUACCGGCGGAAUAAGCACCGGCUAACUACGUGCCAGCAGCCGCGGUAAUACGUAGGGUGCGAGCGUUAAUCGGAAUUAGUGGGUGUAAUGCGUGCGCGGUGGAAUCCCCGGGCUCAACCUGGGAAUGGCCGUGGAAACUGGCGGGCUGGAGUGCGGCAGAGGGGGGUGGAAUUCCGCGUGUAGCAGUGAAAUGCGUAGAGAUGCGGAGGAACACCGAUGGCGAAGGCAGCCCCCUGGGCCGACACUGACGCUCAGGCACGAAAGCGUGGGGAGCAAACAGGAUUAGAUACCCUAGUAGUC